rnacentral:tRNA from 1 species
GGGGAUUUAGCUCAGUGGUAGAGCGCUUGCCUAGCAAGCACAAGGCCCUGGGUUCCGUACCCAGCUCCG